GUGGGGAAUAUUGGACAAUGGGCGCAAGCCUGAUCCAGCCAUGCCGCGUGAGUGAUGAAGGCCUUAGGGUUGUAAAGCUCUUUCAGUGGGGACGAUAAUGACGGUACCCACAGAAGAAGCCCCGGCUAACUUCGUGCCAGCAGCCGCGGUAAUACGAAGGGGGCUAGCGUUGUUCGGAUUUACUGGGCGUAAAGCGCACGUAGGCGGAUCGUUAAGUCGGGGGUGAAAUCCUGGAGCUCAACUCCAGAACUGCCUUCGAUACUGGCGAUCUUGAGUCCGGAAGAGGUGAGUGGAACUCCUAGUGUAGAGGUGGAAUUCGUAGAUAUUAGGAAGAACACCAGUGGCGAAGGCGGCUCACUGGUCCGGUACUGACGCUGAGGUGCGAAAGCGUGGGGAGCAAACAGGAUUAGAUACCCUUGUAGUCC
rnacentral:rRNA from 1 species